rnacentral:sRNA from 1 species
ACACAGGAUCCGGAGCUGGUGCUGAUAACAGCGGAAUCCCCCGUCUACCUCUCUCCUUGGUCCUGGAGCAGCGCUACUGAUCACCAAGUAGCCACAAAAUAUAAUAAACCCUCAGCACUUGCUCAGUAGUUUUGUGAAAGUCUCAAGUAAAAGAGACACAAACAAAAAAUUCUUUUUCGUGAAGAACUCCAAAAAUAAAAUUCUCUAGAGAUUAAAAAAAAAAAAAAAGGAAAAUGCCAGCUGAUAUAAUGGAGAAAAAUUCCUCGUCCCCGGUGGCUGCUACCCCAGCCAGUGUCAACACCACACCGGAUAAACCAAAGACAGCAUCUGAGCACAGAAAGUCAUCAAAGCCUAUUAUGGAGAAAAGACGAAGAGCAAGAAUAAAUGAAAGUCUGAGCCAGCUGAAGACACUGAUUUUGGAUGCUCUGAAGAAAGAUGUAAGUGGGGAAAUGCUGCUCGCUCUUUUAAUUAAAAAACAAACACUUUCUCAGCUACUAAGAGUGAAACCGCCCGCCCUGCGGGGUCUGGCACUCGCUGGUACUGCGUUCUCCCAGGCGGGAAGGCCUGGCCUUAUUCGCUGGGGUCCAGAGAUAAUGCUUGCGCUCCGUGGCUGGGAGGAGGGACCCCCAGCACUCUGAAGCAGCUGACACGGGGCUCACUUUCCUUUCUUGCCUCCUCCUAUGCAGAGCUCGCGGCAUUCCAAACUGGAGAAGGCGGACAUUCUGGAAAUGACAGUGAAGCACCUCCGGAACCUGCAGCGGGCGCAGAUGACGGGUGAGGGCGGCUCGCCGCGUCCCCCUGUGCGGGCGUCCCGCUUGCCUCGCGGUGAUUUCUUCCAGACUUCCGCCCGUGGUUGUGAGAGGCAUUCAGCUACAUUUUACUGCCUUGGCUCACUCUCGCGUUCCCACGGUCUGGGGCUUAUUUAUAGCCACAACUCCAAGUUGUUACUGUUCCGGAAAAGGAGGGAAAGAGAUUGCAGCCGCGAGGGUGGCGGGCGGCGGGUAGGGGCG